rnacentral:lncRNA from 1 species
CUGAAGAAUGCAACCAUGCCUUCUGUAGAAGGACUUCUGAUCCAACAUUAGGAAGGAAAUCUCAAGGUUUUUAGAAAUGACAACACACAAAAGAGCAAUGGUUUACAGUACACACACUGUUCAUAAAACUUCGAUAAGAUACAAAACUAAAACACGAUUUAUCUAAUAAAUGUGGGUCAACGAACGUGAGGUGUUUUAGAUACAUGAUUUACCAAACAAAUGUGACAAACACUGAGAGGCAGACUCCAAAGAAAAACAGAUCUCCCACUUCUGUGGUGUUUUAGAUACUUUUCUUCAUUCAGCAGCAGCAGGAGCAUGAAGUUACAAAUCUUAUCGGUUUUUGACACUUCUUAGUGUCAUUUCCCUCAUUCUCAUGCUUGUUUUUCCAUGUUGCAUUAACUAAUGUACAACAAUAGCUUAUGGAAACCUGGUUCAAUUUCCUUCUUCAAAGCAAUAUGAGCAUCCCAGCACCAGUAACACAAAGGAGAUGAACAACGCUGAAACUAUUCUGUAUUCUUUUUCUGUUAUACCACAAAAAGUAACUACAAGCUCCAUCAUCCCAAAAGAAAUUUGUUCAAAAUUGUUUCAGGACAAGAACAAUAGCUCAGAUAGGAAGAAAACAGAGAGAAAUCAUUGUAAGUCACCACGAAAUUGUUGCAAGCCGGAAAUAGUCGCAACAGUCCAAGAAUUUCUCAGGACUUCCGUGUCUCCCCAAUGGCAAUAUAUUUAUGCAAUUGGUUGGAAUUUCACACUUUCCUCCAGGUUGAGGAGUGACUCACUUGGUUACAUAUACUUUUUUGGAUAUUUACGCUAGCAAUACAGUAUUAUCUUUAUAAAAUUUCAAUUGCUAGAAGUUUAAAACAUGGUUUGCCUAAUCAAUUUGGUUCUAUAGUAGGCAGAUCGAGAAUAAACAUGUCUUAAAAGUACUAUCCACACAUCUAAGUGGAUCAUACAUACUUUUUAUCCACACAAUUAUAGAACCACAAAUUAUUAUCCACUUGUUAUCUACAUAUUGCAUAGGACUCACAGCUUAUAAGUACUUAAUAGUACUACCAAACAAGCACUUAGAC